GGAUGUGAGGGCGAUUUGGCUGUGACAUCUGUCACUGCAUUGAUCACUAGGGUUGAUUUGGCAGAUCUGGCUGGUUAGGCAGAUGUCUGCUUUCUCCCUCACUGUUCCAUGUGUGUCCCUCCUGAAGCUGGCACUCGGUAGAAGAGGACUGCCUUCCUCGAAUAGAGACAGAUCGGUCUUUGGUCGAGGGUAUAUGAGUAGCUGCACUCCCCUGCUGGAACCUCCAAAUAAACUCUCAAGAAAGAAUUUCUCAGUUUUGAGAAUUCUAAGAUGUUAUGACAGAUAAUAAACUUUUUAAGUAAAACAUUUGUCUUUUUAAUGUUUUUGCUU
ensembl:misc_RNA 7SK 7SK RNA